UUCAUUGUAUCAACAAUAUCGUUGUGGAAAUUUAAGACUGACGCAAUAAACACUACCUGGAGUGCUGCGUUGUCGCAACUUGUUUAGACGCAACGUAAACAGUUUGUUUCUCAAUCGAUCAGUGGCUUGACACGCGCAUCGCAAAUCGGUUUUUUGAAUUUCAAGUCAUUCCUCGUUAUCGUGGACCAAUUGCGGGCUGUAGUUCUCAGUGCUACGAACUUGCGUCAUUUCGUUUGCGUAAUUAGUAAAAAUUCUGAAGCACGAUUCAUCCCAUUGACGCACAAUACGAUGAAAGAGGAAAACGAGUAACGAACGGUGUGAAAGACCAAGCAGUUCCUGUUUCAAGGCUCAUGCUGUUUCUCAUCUACGAAACGACAUAAUAGUUGGGGUCACAUUGGAAAAGGAAAAGGACAGAAACGGAAAUUACAUACUAUUUCAAUAUGAAACCAACGUGUGAUGUGUAAACCUGCAUAAAGAAGCUUUCUCUUUAAUCUAUAAAAGGGUGCAUAUCGGCCAACAUGAUGAAUUGAAGAGAAAUUGUGUAGGUUGAAUAUUCGCAAGUAGGUCGAGAAGUUCAUUAGAAUUCUAUAAAGUACCAUUACAUUUUUUUCACAAGAGAGAACAGUAAUUUUCUACUUAUUUUAAUAUGAUCUUCCGACAGUAUACCGAACGAUUCUAUAGAUAAUACUUUUUUAAUUUACUUUAAUUUAGUUUAAUUUAUGUGUCAGGAGAAGCACGAAUCUUUUUGGCUCAUUAGCGAGACUACUGUAUUGCAUUCCAUAGUUCAAUUAUAGAUGCAAAGAAAUUUUCUUGUGUUUCUAUUUUCCUUGAUUUUCAUAUAAUAGCUUUUAUUAGCCUUGACCUGAUACUUUUUAACCGAAAAAAUUAUCUUAAAAUCAUAAAUUACAAGGUCUGUUAUUCUAAAUAAACUAAUUCCAUCUUGACCCAA